UGGGGAAUUUUGGACAAUGGGGGAAACCCUGAUCCAGCCAUCCCGCGUGUGCGAUGAAGGCCUUCGGGUUGUAAAGCACUUUUGGCAGGAAAGAAACGUCGCGGGUUAAUACCCCGCGAAACUGACGGUACCUGCAGAAUAAGCACCGGCUAACUACGUGCCAGCAGCCGCGGUAAUACGUAGGGUGCAAGCGUUAAUCGGAAUUACUGGGCGUAAAGCGUGCGCAGGCGGUUCGGAAAGAAAGAUGUGAAAUCCCAGAGCUUAACUUUGGAACUGCAUUUUUAACUACCGGGCUAGAGUGUGUCAGAGGGAGGCGGAAUUCCGCGUGUAGCAGUGAAAUGCGUAGAUAUGCGGAGGAACACCGAUGGCGAAGGCAGCCUCCUGGGAUAACACUGACGCUCAUGCACGAAAGCGUGGGGAGCAAACAGGAUUAGAUACCCUGGUAGUCCACGCCCUAAACGAUGUCAACUAGCUGUUGGGGCCUUCGGGCCUUGGUAGCGCAGCUAACGCGUGAAGUUGACCGCCUGGGGAGUACGGUCGCAAGAUU
rnacentral:rRNA from 1 species